rnacentral:tRNA from 1 species
UCCCUGGUGGUCCAGGGGUUAAGACCCUGUACUUCCAAUGCAGGGGGCCUGGGUUCAAUCCCUGCUCAGGGAA